rnacentral:rRNA from 1 species
AGCGAACGCUGGCGGCAGGCCUAACACAUGCAAGUCGAACGGAUCCUUCGGGAUUAGUGGCGGACGGGCGAGUAACACGUGGGAACGUGCCUUUUGGUUCGGAACAACUCAGGGAAACUUGAGCUAAUACCGGAUAAGCCUUUCGAGGGAAAGAUUUAUCGCCAUUAGAGCGGCCCGCGUAGGAUUAGCUAGUUGGUGGGGUAAAGCCCACCAAGGCUACGAUCCUUAGCUGGUCUGAGAGGAUGAUCAGCCACAUUGGGACUGAGACACGGCCCAAACUCCUACGGGAGGCAGCAGUGGGGAAUCUUGCGCAAUGGGCGAAAGCCUGACGCAGCCAUGCCGCGUGAAUGAUGAAGGUCUUAGGGA